rnacentral:rRNA from 1 species
GGGUUGUGAGGUUAAGCGACUAAGCGUACACGGUGGAUGCCCUGGCAGUCAGAGGCGAUGAAGGACGUGCUAAUCUGCGAAAAGCGUCGGUAAGGUGAUAUGAACCGUUAUAACCGGCGAUGUCCGAAUGGGGAAACCCAGUGUGAUUCGUCACACUAUCGUUAACUGAAUACAUAGGUUAACGAGGCGAACCGGGGGAACUGAAACAUCUAAGUACCCCGAGGAAAAGAAAUCAACCGAGAUUCCCCCAGUAGCGGCGAGCGAACGGGGAGCAGCCCAGAGUCUGAAUCAGCUUGUGUGUUAGUGGAACGGUCUGGAAAGUCCGACGGUACAGGGUGAUAGUCCCGUACACCAAAAUGCACAGGCUGUGAACUCGAAGAGUAGGGCGGGACACGUGGUAUCCUGUCUGAAUAUGGGGGGACCAUCCUCCAAGGCUAAAUACUCCUGACUGACCGAUAGUGAACCAGUACCGUGAGGGAAAGGCGAAAAGAACCCCGGCGAGGGGAGUGAAAAAGAACCUGAAACCGUGUACGUACAAGCAGUGGGAGCACCUUCGGGUGUGACUGCGUACCUUUUGUAUAAUGGGUCAGCGACUUAUAUUCUGUAGCAAGGUUAACCGUAUAGGGGAGCCGCAGGGAAACCGAGUCUUAACUGGGCGUUAAGUUGCAGGGUAUAGACCCGAAACCCGGUGAUCUAGCCAUGGGCAGGUUGAAGGUUGGGUAACACUAACUGGAGGACCGAACCGACUAAUGUUGAAAAAUUAGCGGAUGACUUGUGGCUGGGGGUGAAAGGCCAAUCAAACCGGGAGAUAGCUGGUUCUCCCCGAAAGCUAUUUAGGUAGCGCCUCGUGAACUCAUCUUCGGGGGUAGAGCACUGUUUCGGCUAGGGGGUCAUCCCGACUUACCAACCCGAUGCAAACUACGAAUACCGAAGAAUGUUAUCACGGGAGACACACGGCGGGUGCUAACGUCCGUCGUGAAGAGGGAAACAACCCAGACCGCCAGCUAAGGUCCCAAAGUCAUGGUUAAGUGGGAAACGAUGUGGGAAGGCACAGACAGCCAGGAUGUUGGCUUAGAAGCAGCCAUCAUUUAAAGAAAGCGUAAUAGCUCACUGGUCGAGUCGGCCUGCGCGGAAGAUGUAACGGGGCUAAACCAUGCACCGAAGCUGCGGCAGCGACACUAUGUGUUGUUGGGUAGGGGAGCGUUCUGUAAGCCUGCGAAGGUGACCUGUGAGGGUUGCUGGAGGUAUCAGAAGUGCGAAUGCUGACAUAAGUAACGAUAAAGCGGGUGAAAAGCCCGCUCGCCGGAAGACCAAGGGUUCCUGUCCAACGUUAAUCGGGGCAGGGUGAGUCGACCCCUAAGGCGAGGCCGAAAGGCGUAGUCGAUGGGAAACAGGUUAAUAUUCCUGUACUUGGUGUUACUGCGAAGGGGGGACGGAGAAGGCUAUGUUAGCCGGGCGACGGUUGUCCCGGUUUAAGCAUGUAGGCUGGUUGUCCAGGCAAAUCCGGAUAAUCAAGGCUGAGGUGUGAUGACGAGGUACUACGGUGCUGAAGUAACAAAUGCCCUGCUUCCAGGAAAAGCCUCUAAGCAUCAGGUAACAUCAAAUCGUACCCCAAACCGACACAGGUGGUCAGGUAGAGAAUACCAAGGCGCUUGAGAGAACUCGGGUGAAGGAACUAGGCAAAAUGGUGCCGUAACUUCGGGAGAAGGCACGCUGGUGUGUAGGUGAAGUCCCUGCGGAUGGAGCUGAGACCAGUCGAAGAUACCAGCUGGCUGCAACUGUUUAUUAAAAACACAGCACUGUGCAAACACGAAAGUGGACGUAUACGGUGUGACGCCUGCCCGGUGCCGGAAGGUUAAUUGAUGGGGUUAUCCGUAAGGAGAAGCUCUUGAUCGAAGCCCCGGUAAACGGCGGCCGUAACUAUAACGGUCCUAAGGUAGCGAAAUUCCUUGUCGGGUAAGUUCCGACCUGCACGAAUGGCGUAAUGAUGGCCAGGCUGUCUCCACCCGAGACUCAGUGAAAUUGAACUCGCUGUGAAGAUGCAGUGUACCCGCGGCAAGACGGAAAGACCCCGUGAACCUUUACUAUAGCUUGACACUGAACAUUGAGCCUUGAUGUGUAGGAUAGGUGGGAGGCUUUGAAGCGUGGACGCCAGUCUGCGUGGAGCCAACCUUGAAAUACCACCCUUUAAUGUUUGAUGUUCUAACGUUGGCCCCUUACCGGGGUUGCGGACAGUGUCUGGUGGGUAGUUUGACUGGGGCGGUCUCCUCCCAAAGCGUAACGGAGGAGCACGAAGGUUAGCUAAUCCUGGUCGGACAUCAGGAGGUUAGUGCAAUGGCAUAAGCUAGCUUGACUGCGAGCGUGACGGCGCGAGCAGGUGCGAAAGCAGGUCAUAGUGAUCCGGUGGUUCUGAAUGGAAGGGCCAUCGCUCAACGGAUAAAAGGUACUCCGGGGAUAACAGGCUGAUACCGCCCAAGAGUUCAUAUCGACGGCGGUGUUUGGCACCUCGAUGUCGGCUCAUCACAUCCUGGGGCUGAAGUAGGUCCCAAGGGUAUGGCUGUUCGCCAUUUAAAGUGGUACGCGAGCUGGGUUUAGAACGUCGUGAGACAGUUCGGUCCCUAUCUGCCGUGGGCGCUGGAGAAUUGAGGGGGGCUGCUCCUAGUACGAGAGGACCGGAGUGGACGCAUCACUGGUGUUCGGGUUGUCAUGCCAAUGGCACUGCCCGGUAGCUAAAUGCGGAAGAGAUAAGUGCUGAAAGCAUCUAAGCACGAAACUUGCCCCGAGAUGAGUUCUCCCUGAGACUUUAAGUCUCCUGAAGGAACGUUGAAGACGACGACGUUGAUAGGCCGGGUGUGUAAGCGCAGCGAUGCGUUGAGCUAACCGGUACUAAUGAACCGUGAGGCUUAACCUUACAACGCCGAAG